GAGAGUUAAACAGUACGUGAAAUUGUUGAAAGGGAAACGAUUGAAGCCAGUCGUACCUUCGGGUAAUCAGCCUUUUGGGUGUGAUUUUGUGGAGCGUGAAGAGUUAAACGCCUUCAUGCCUGCAUAUUCGUGCACUUUGGGUGUACUUGCCCGUAUGGUUGGUUAACAUCAAUUUUGAUGGUCAUAAAAUGACUGGAGGAAUGUAGCUUCGAUCUCGUAUUGAAGUGUUAUAGCCUUCGGUAGAUGUGAUGAUCGAGAUUGAGGAUUGCAACGGAUACCCUUCGGGGCUACCUGUCUGAUCUCUGAUCGUUGUUCUGGUGCCGAAAGCUUGCUUACGGUUAUCAAAGUCGAUGGUCAAUAGGUUAGAACGGGUUAAAUUCGUUAAGGAUGUUGACGUAAUGGCUUUAAACGA
rnacentral:rRNA from 1 species